rnacentral:rRNA from 1 species
GUGGGGAAUCUUGCACAAUGGGCGAAAGCCUGAUGCAGCCAUGCCGCGUGAAUGAUGAAGGCCUUAGGGUUGUAAAAUUCUUUCGUCAGGGAUGAUAAAGACCGUACCUGAAGAAGAAGCCCCGGCUAACUUCGUGCCAGCAGCCGCGGUAAUACGAAGGGGGCUAGCGUUGUUCGGAAUUACUGGGCGUAAAGCGCACGUAGGCGGACUUUUAAGUCAGGUGUGAAAUCCCGGGGCUCAACCUCGGAACUGCAUUUGAAACUGGAAGUCUUGAGAUCAGGAGAGGUUAGCGGAAUACCGAGUGUAGAGGUGAAAUUCGUAGAUAUUCGGUGGAACACCAGUGGCGAAGGCGGCUAACUGGACUGAUACUGACGCUGAGGUGCGAAAGUGUGGGGAGCAAACAGGAUUAGAAACCCCUGUAGUCC